rnacentral:tRNA from 1 species
GCCUGGAUAGUGCUGACCAAGGUCGCCGCGACUCCUGCGAACGACCAUGGACGAUCGAGGAUAUGGUCAGGUCGAACUUAAACCUCGCAGCCGAAAGGCAUACGGGUUCGAAUCCCGUCCCGGGCA